rnacentral:rRNA from 1 species
AUUGAACGCUGGCGGCAUGCCUUACACAUGCAAGUCGAACGGUAACGGGCCUUCGGGUGCCGACGAGUGGCGCACGGGUGAGUAAUACAUCGGAACGUACCCGAUCGUGGGGGAUAACGCGGCGAAAGCUUUGCUAAUACCGCAUACGAUCUGCGGAUGAAAGCGGGGGACCGCAAAGCCUUGCUUGGCCGCGCCCGCCUAUGGCGGCCGAUGUCGGAUUAGGUAGUUGGUGGGGUAAAGCCCUACCAAGGCGACGAUCCGUAGCUGGUCUGAGAGGACGACCAGCCACACUGGGACUGAGACACGGCCCAGACUCCUACGGGAGGCAGCAGUGGGGAAUUUUGGACAAUGGGCGCAAGCCUGAUCCAGCCAUGCCGCGUGCAGGAAGAAGGCCUUCGGGUUGUAAACCGCUUUUGGACGGAACGAAAAGCCGUCUGUUAAUACAGGAGGGUCAUGACGGUACCGUAAGAAUAAGCACCGGCUAACUACGUG